rnacentral:rRNA from 1 species
CAUCCUUGAUCGGGAGGUCCGGGUAAUCUUUUGAAACUUCAUCGUGCUGGGGAUAGUCCCUUGCAAUUUUUGGACUUUAACGAGGAAUUCCUAGUAAGCGUGAGUCAUCAACUCGCGUUGAUUACGUCCCUGCCCUUUGUACACACCGCCCGUCGCUACUACCGAUUGAAUGGCUUAGUGAAUCCUUCGGAUUGGCUUUCUUUUUCUGGCAACAGAAUUUGAUCGCUGAAAAGUUGGGCAAACUUGGUCAUUUAGAGGAAGUAAAAGUCGUAACAAGGUUUCCGUAGGUGAACCUGCGGAAGGAUCAUUAAUAAAUUUUCCAACGAUUGGUGUUGGAAUAAUAAUAAUCAUCCUACCCUUUGUGAAUUUGUUUGUUUGAAAUAAUUUUUUUUUAAAAAAUUAUUUGAAUGUCUUUCCCUGAAAUUGUGAGGAGCUGUAAUGGUAACUUGCAAUUCAGGGGAUAGAUUUUCUAGUAAUUUUUUAGGAAAGACCUUUUUUUAAAAUAAAACUUUAUGUAUUCAUUUGUCUAAAAAAAAUUUUUAAAUAAAUAAUUUAAAAACAACUUUUGACAAUGGAUCUCUUGGUUCUCGCAACGAUGAAGAACGCAGCAAAAUGCGAUAAGUAGUGUGAAUUGCAGAAUACGUGAAUCAUCGAAUCUUCGAACGCAUAUUGCAC